rnacentral:rRNA from 1 species
ACUGAACGCUGGCGGCAGGCCUAACACAUGCACGUCGAGCGGAUGUAGGGAGCUUGCUCCUGUAUUUAGCGGCCGACGGGUGCGUCAUGCCUAGGAAACUGCCUGGUAGUGGGGGAUAACGCUCGGCACCGGGCCCUAAUACCGCAUUCGAUCUGAGGGCGAACGUGGGGGACCUUCGACCCUCACGCUAUCCGAUGAGCCUAGGCCGGAUUAGCUAGUUGGUGGGGUUAACGCCUACCAAGGCGACGAUCCGUAACUGGUCUGAGAGGAUGAUCAGGCACACGGGAACUGGGACAAGGUCCAGACUACUGCGGGAGGCAGCAGUGGGGAAUAGUGGACAAUGGGCGAAAGCCUGCACCAGCCAUGCCGCGUGUGUGAAGAAGGUCUUCGGAUUGUAAAGCACUUUAAGUUGGGAGGAAGGGCAGUAAGUUAAUACCUUGCUGUUUUGACGUUACCAACAGAAUAAGCACCGGCUAACUUCGUG